rnacentral:lncRNA from 1 species
UGAAUAAAAAAUUUUCCAAAUAACUUUAAUUUUGUUUAUCUUCAAUUCUAAUUCUAUAUCUUCAAUAUCUUCUAUAAUCUUCAAUCAUAGACUAUAUUUUUAGAUAUACGUGCUUUUGAAUGUCACAAUGUUUUUGUGUUUCUGUUAAUUGAACAUUGUUACGUUAAAAUUGAAUGAAACUCUUUCAAUCUGAACACAAAGAGUGCAAAAGCAAUUCGAUGACUCGAAUCUGCUCAUUAGCAGAGGUACGGGAAAAGGAAUGGAGAAAAUUUUCUAAUCAGCUUUCGACCGAUGAAAUUGUCUUCGCAAACAGUAAAAUUACUCAAAGCUGAACGAGAUAUUAGGUAAACGUCGUGUCGCCUCGCUUUUUCCCCUUUUCCCCUUUUUUCCUCUUCUCUUUCAAUUGCUAGAAAUUCCAUGGAAAAAGUACCUCAAUUUACGAAGAGAGCUCGUUCCUGGAUUACCUUCCAAUUAGAAUUGUUUACGUACCAGGUGACAAUCAUUUCCUUUCCCAACAAUGAAAAAUUCUACUUGAUUGAUGUAAAUUCGGCGUAUCUUUCGUCAACUUUUCUGAUUAAUGUUCAGCCUCAUUGUUUAAUCGUACAUUUUGUAUACGUUGAACGGACACAAACAAGAGAAAAAUUAUUUUUCUACCCUUUGAGUUCGUAUUCGACGAGGUGGAUACAAGUUAAUUGAACAAGAAGUUAUUAUUUCUGAUUCUGACAGAUAUUUCUCUAUACCCCCGUUCGAACUAAUGAGAUGGUCGAGAAUUCCAGAACCUUCUAGUUACUUUUGGUAACUUUGGUAAGAAUCGAUUUUACCCUUCGAGCUUUUCCUUUCUUAUCGGUAAAUCAGUUGGAAAAAAACCAAUCGACUUUUAUCGACCAUAUUCCAUCAACUUAUUGAGAUAUUAAUCGAAAAUAAAUGAAAAAGAAAAUAAUGAAAUUGAAAAUAUAUAUUUUGAACGAAAGUAACAAUCUUCGAAAUUACCCGAAGAAACAUAUGAUCAGAAGUUAAAAAGACGAAAGAAGACUUAAGUAGCAUGAUCAUCACCGAGUUUCCUGCUUCUAUCUGCAUCUUUCGUCUACUUCUUAGAGAAAGGAUAACUAAAAUGAACGCGUGCAGAAUCUACAUUUACGUGUCUAUGCAACUUCGCCUUUGGUGAAAGCAAAGGAAAAGGAAGCAGAUGACGAAAAGGGAGGGGCUAUUGUUCGCGAAAACAUUGUUUCAUUUAAUUCAACGAAUCGAUGAGUAUCGAGCGGCGCAGCCGUUUUCGGAUAUGGGUCAGUGGUCGAUACGCGUGUCCUGCGUCGCGCACCUAUCUACACGUAUACGUAUAUAGUACACGUAUACAAUAUAUAUAGGGUAUAGAAGCGAACGUGGCAAUGCGCGCAAUAAACGCGCAUGUACGCGCAUACAUGUGACAUAUAUACUUGUGACAUUGAUGAUCCGUUGGUAAGUUACCUAAUUUAUAUUAUUAAUUUAUAAAUUACACGUCACAAAGGAAACAAAGUAGAUUGUAUCAUGAUUAAAAUUAUUUUUUAUCAUUCGAGACGAAGACGCGUGUUGCUUUACCAUGUAUCGGUAACUAUAGAGAGAGAGAUAUUUAACACGAGAGAAACGACCCAUUUAUCAAAGUGAACUCGAUACAGUUUUGCCACGAAUACCAGCACGAGUUUAAGUACCGAUACACUCCAUUUGAAAACUAAACUAAUAGAGUAGAACGAUAGCAGGUUCAUCGACCUAAAUCGCCAUAUCGAUCGAUUAAAAGGAUGCGCGAUGGAUGUGCGGUUCUUCGCGAGUAUAUCGGUACGGGUGGGGUAUGGGUGUGUCGGUCAUACCUUGGUUUAUUACUAAUCGUUAGCCCGUUACAUCAGUGUCUGCAAUUACCAUUUGAUUUAGCAUAUUGUCUCGGGAGAGAACUAUAGCUCGUAAUAGCGUUGUGAAUAUAACAUGCAACGUAUACGGUAUAAAUUUAUGAGUUAAAUCAUAGUUCGCGAUAAAGUCUAUUGCAACUCAGUCAUGAAGUCCUUCUUUUUUUUUUCUUUUUUUUUUAUUCUGCGCAAGAAACAAAAAAUAAACGAUUCGAUCGAAAUCGUAAAUUGAAAAUUGUUCGCGCUAAAAGAACCAUGUAUUCAUUAAUUUUUAAUCCGUAUUUUGUUACAAGAAUUAUAAGAGAAAAGACGAUAUAGCUUAUUUUUGAUGAUUUUAUAUAGUGAAUAACUUUUGAAAAUAAAUCGUGAAUAUGACGAUACAAAUAUUUUUUUUUAAGGGAAUGUAAAUCUAAACUGAGAUCAAUAUUUCUCGAGCGAAAUAAUUUUCGAUUAAUUCAUUUGAUGUAAUAAGAUCGUAACCCUUCCGGCAUCCUCCCACCUUAACGCCCUGGCUAAUGACUUAAUCACAUCCAAACCUAACUUUGAAACUUUCCAUCGAAUUAUUCGGUGGCUAGACCUGGAGGAUUGCAAGCAUAACCUAACUUUUCUAUACACACAUUUCCUAACGUCUUUAAAACAUAUCUCAUGCAUUUCUAAAUCGCCAAGUAUACACGAACACACGAAACCAAUCCGUUUAAUUUCAAAGCGAUUAAUUUCAAAGACAAAGUAUCGUACGGAACAUCAUAGGUUAGCUACUCUUGGGAGAGUCCUUGUCGUCUACACCUAAUUACGUAAUACCCGUACCUACCGGGAAGGAUAUACGAGUUCCGAGGAUGGACGUAACAUUAACUGCGAAGCUUCCAAGAUAAUGCAAUUGCUAACGUCUGACAGGAUUUUCAGUGCUGUCAAUUAUCGAAUAAAGUGACAUCGGCUCUACGUAAGUACCUUCGUGUACUUCCAGAGGGCGUUGAACUCCCCUCUCCUAUAUAUACGAUACCUUUCCAACGUAUUGCAUUAAAACGAUAUACAUACAUAAAUCCUUUCCGACUUGAAAAUGAAAUUCAAUAUGGUAAAAGAAUACAAGAGAGAUCUUUAACAUCGGGACAUGAUAUCGCUCCGUGUUCACAAACGAUCCGAUUAAAUCGUGCAAUUACCGAUUCUUACUCUAUUAUAAUAGAGAAGAAAACAAAUGCAUAAUAUCAAUAGCGAGAUAUAUUUUUUUUUUUUCCUUACAAGAAUACAUUCCUUCCAGUCGACGGAUUCAAAGAACCUACCUAUCCUCUCCCCCUUCCCUUUCACAUCCGUCCCUUCCAUCCUUUUCCAUCCCUCUCCUCCUCUGUUUCUCUAUUUAUCCGAGCUAGAGAAUACCUCGCGAAUCAAUAAGUGGUGGAGCCGAUUUACAAGACCGACCGGGUAUGAAAGAAGCUUAACAAGCGGAAACGGACGGUGCGUAUCCAUCUCGGUCAUAGAGAUUCUACGCAAUAUCGGCAGAAACUCGACUAGAAAAGUUAUUCACCCCGAAUCGAUCCGGCCGAUUGUCGAGUCGAUGAAAGCUGCCCUAUAACUAGUUAAUUGGUCUGCUACCGAUACAGCUACUCUACUCCUCCACUCUGUUCCUCAUACCUCCUCAUUGCUCAAUCCCUUGCUUCUAUUCUCAUUCUCUUUCGCUUCUUUUUCCAUCAUCAACGGCAGCAAUAACUGAUAAUUAAUCCGCCGCCUAUCAAUCGAAUUAUGGGAAAGGAGGAAGACAUUCUUCACCGCGAUCUUUUCAUUUCUUUUUCCUUUUCUCUCGAGUCGAAGUAAUAAAAUAAAAAUAAACCAGAUGAAUAGAGAGAAUGAAAACGAUCCGAGGUUCGCUUCUCGAUCAAUCGUAAUUAGAGUCACUCGAAUCGAGAUCAGAGAUGGCCGAACACAAGAAGCCUCUGUCCUCGUUCCAUCGAGAUUGAAAGAUUAGAGUUGAAAUUAAGAAGAGAUUGAAAAAUUGGAAAGAGAGAGAAAAAAAAAGUGAAAAUGUAGCGAAUAUGAAGAAUGCAAUAAUCAAUAGCCUUGCAAAGAAUAAAAUCCCUUGAUAUCGUCGCCCUAUAUCCGAUGGUAAUCCAGUGGAGGCUGUCACGCGAGAACACGUUUUGCAUGCAAAAUCGGCGGACCAAAUAACCGAGAGAAGUAUUUCAAAUUCCCUGACCAAGAGCCGCCUCUGUCGAGAAUCGAUAUCUGCCUCCAACCGAGAGAAGCGAUCGUUUUCGAGAAGGAACUGAUUCGACCUUUCCACGUUGAAAACGUAUAUAUAUAUAUAUAUAUAUAUAUUGUAUAAUAUCACAGCAUGUAUAUAUAAAUCGAUCUUAUCAGCAUGAAAAUGGGAUCGUAACAGCACCGUUUCCCCUAGCUCCCCUAUUUCCGAAGAUAUAUAUAUAUAUAUAUAUCAAAGGUGUCAAAGAUAUUUCUUGGUUCGAAUACCGCGAGAUCGAAUUUAGAUUCCAUUUCUCUGAUUUUGAUAUGCGUCGAUCAAUUAUUUAAUUUAUUCUUCUAUAUAUAUAUAUAUAUCUUUCGAUUAAUAAGUCAAGAUGUACUCGCUUCCUGUAAUCAACCGCCGUGAAAAAUUAAUUUUCGUGCGAAAAAUUUUACGAUGUUUUAAUAACACAUACACAAAUAGAUUUUGUGCAAUUACAAACGUUGCAUAAUCAUAGCGUGCAACAUACGAUAUACGAAAGAGAAAAUUAAAUUUUAUGCACGUUUAUACAUGCGUAUCUUGCGCGCAGUAUUACAGCCAUUUGAUAUUAUUCAUUGUCAUUUUACGAACACGUUUGUCCUACUUUACCAACCGUGUAAAGCUACAUAUUCAAUCACCAUUGUCCCUGUCACGAAUAUGAUAAAACGGUAAGAUAAGUGAAGCGCAACGUUACGUAAGAGUACUAAUGGAGAAAGUACGAAAGCGACGAAAUAAAUCUAGAUAGAAAAGUAAAAAGAAAAACUUGGCAUUGAUGUCGAAUGAAUGAAUCAAUACAAGUGAAUAAAUUCUUACAAUGUCACAACAGCAUCUGUUUGAUAAACGUUUAUGAUAUUCGAUUUUAUUGCGCCAACUUAUAUAUAUAUAUUCAAAAUUCAGUGGAGGGGGAAUAUCGUGUAGGCUUGCGUCGCCUUUUUAUUGCGUAGCUGUUUGAUGAUUGCCUACGACGCUAAAAUCGUCACUGACGUAAAGGAGAUGAAUGGAGAGAGGGAAAUGGAUAGUUGAAAAGAAUAAAUAAAUGAUGAAACGAAAUGGAUAUUACAGAAGAAGUCAUUUGAUAACAUUGUCGAAAAUUCUUGCCUGGACAAAAAGAAGUGAUCGUGUCUGAGAAUAAAACGAGAAGACAGUGUUGGAGUUGUGUGAAAUGCAGGACGCAACGUUCUCAUAUCUUUUAUUCGUUGCAUCGAGGUUGCUAGAGAAAGAGAAAGAGAAAAAGAGAGAGCAACAUCCGCGUUUCACCGUUUCGUUCAUCGAUGAGCGAUAAGAUACUCUCAAAUGCAAUUUUGAAAUCAUCUUACGUGCUUUGCAAAAUGAAACGAAAUAAACUUUCUCCCGGUUUGUAAGUUUCCCUCGGUUCACCCGGUGGUAGCAGCAGAAGUGUAUACUCGAGACUAUUCAAAUGUAAGCAAAACUCGAUUCUAUGUGUGUAUAGGUUAUGUAGUAACUAUCGAAGAUUCCUGUAGACUGCGCGUUCAAACCGUACUUCGGAUGCAUGUACAAUUGCAAACAAACAGCAUCUCCACUCACACGAAUUGCUUCGAGAGCCAUAAACGGAAGAGCUUAUUCGUUAAAUGUACGAACGUCUGGCCCAUUCAAUAAAUAUACACCGUGCAUCUUCGUUAAAAAUAUUUCGAUACCUUUUCCAUUAUUUUUUUUUUUUCAUCGUUA